rnacentral:snRNA from 1 species
GGUCGUGAGGGCGAUCUGGCUGUGACAUCUGUCGCCCCAUUGAUCACCAGGGUUGACUGGGCUGAUGUGGCUGACCAGGCAGGUGUCCUCUUCCUCCCUCACCGCUCCGUGCUGCGUACUUGGUGGAAGGGAGUGACCACCCCCAAAAGAGGAGGACCGUUUCCUCGGUCAGGGGUAUACGGGUAGCUGUGCUCCCCUGCUAGAAUGUCCAAACAAGCUGUCAAGGUGAUGUGUCUGAUACUGUUUGAGGUGUUACCCUGAACACAUGAGGAGUGAUUGACACUCGUGAUUUGAUCAUCUGGU